AGUGAACGCUGGCGGUAGGCCUAACACAUGCCAGUCGAACGGCAGCACAGUAAGAGCUUGCUCUUACGGGUGGCGAGUGGCGGACGGGUGAGGAAUACAUCGGAAUCUACUUUUUCGUGGGGGAUAACGUAGGGAAACUUACGCUAAUACCGCAUACGACCUACGGGUGAAAGCAGGGGAUCUUCGGACCUUGCGCGAUUGAAUGAGCCGAUGUCGGAUUAGCUAGUUGGCGGGGUAAAGGCCCACCAAGGCGACGAUCCGUAGCUGGUCUGAGAGGAUGAUCAGCCACACUGGAACUGAGACACGGUCCAGACUCCUACGGGAGGCAGCAGUGGGGAAUGUUGGACAAUGGGCGCGAGCCUGAUCCAGCCAUACCGCGUGGGUGAAGAAGGCCUUCGGGUUGUAAAGCCCUUUUGUUGGGAAAGAAAAGCAGCAGGUUAAUACCCCGCUGUUCUGACGGUACCCAAAGAAUAAGCACCGGCUAACUUCGUG
rnacentral:rRNA from 1 species